rnacentral:lncRNA from 1 species
AGCCCAAAGUGACGAGCAGCUGAUUGUAAACUGAGCCAGGAGGUGCAUGCAACUUGUGCAUUAUAGCGUUCCCACUCAUGCGCAGCGCAUUCAGGAUCCAGAUGAACUCGUCCGUCCGGGAGGUAUUUCCGCCAAAAACUCGCGUGGUUAGCCGCAGAAACUCGUUGUUCAGGUAAGAGUUGAGGUUCCCUUUUGGAUCACGAGCUUCCCCUGCUUGCUCAAGCAGCUCCUG